UAAUUUAUUUUUUCAUUAUCUUAGUCAUAAUAUUCUUACUGGGCUAGUUGAGCUCACCCUUUUUAUCUGUUGUCCUCUUCAGGAAAUGAGAAUAUCGCGGGGAAUAGUCGGGGAACAGUGUGAUGGUCAGAGUUAGAUCUGUUGAAAUCCUCACUAUUCUAUAAAAUAGUGAGAUAAUAAUUGUAAUAAAUAAGUGAUGAAUUUGAA
rnacentral:lncRNA from 1 species